AGCCAAAGCCAUCGUGCUUUGUAGUUGAUGGCCAUGGGCAACCAAAGUCAUCAUGCUUUGCUGCUGAUGGCCAUGGGCAGCCAAAGCCAAUGCAGAUCAUUGCUGAUGGCCAUGGGCAACCAAAGCCAUCAUGCUUUGUUGCUGAUGCCCAUGGUCAACCAAAGUCAUUAUGAUUUGUUGCUGAUGGCCAUGGUCAACCAAAGCCAAUGCACAUCAUUGCUGAUGGCCAUAGGCAAUCAAAUCCAUUAUGCUUUGUGUCUGAUGGCCAUGGGCAACCAAAGUCAUUAUGAUUUGUUGCUGAUGGCCAUGGUCAAUCAAAGCCAAUGCACAUCAUUGCUGAUGGCCAUGGGCAACCAAACCCAUUGUGCUUUGUGUCUGAUGGCCAUGGGCAACCAAAGCCAAUGGGCAUCAUUGCUGAUGGCCAUGGGCAACCAAACCCGUUGUGCUUUGUGGUUGAUGGCCAUGGGCAACCAAAGUCAUUAUGAUUUGUUGCUGAUGGCCAUGGUCAACCAAAGUCAUCGUGCUUUGUGUCUGAUGGCCAUGGGCAGCCAAAGCCAUCAUGCUUUGUAGUUGAUGGCCAUGGGCAACCAAAGCCAAUGCACAUCAUUGCUGAUGACCAUGGGCACCAAACCCGUUGUGCUUUGUGUCUGAUGGCCACGGGCAGCCAAAGCCCCCGUGCUUUGUUACCAGCGGCCCCCAGCUCGGUCAGCAGCGCCGUGCGGCCCGGUUUUCUUCCUCCAGCACACGUGCAUCCCCCAUUGCUGGCCUGCAUGCAGACAUGUGCGUGUAUCCCCACACGCGCGCGGCCCCCCGGGCACGUGCACACUCACCAGGACUCUGCAUGUGCAUCCACACGCCUGCACCUCGCACACGCGUGCGCGGAGCCGCGGGCCUCGUCCCACCUCCGCCCUCGAUCCCACCCGGACGAACUCACCUGUGGGUUUUUUUUUUGGUUUGUUUUGUUUCGUUCCGUUUUUAAUUUUACAGGGUCAGUUUGACUUCACCCUUAAUUUUGUAUGGAUUUUCGGAGGAGAUUUCUCCUUCUCCAGAGUCAUGGAGGUGUGGCCAUUCGCCUCCCGCCCUUGACGUUGUGAUACACAUCCCCCACAGAGAUCUAUGUUUCUUAUAUUAUAUUAUUAUUAUUAUUAUUAUGUAAUAAAUUUAUAAGAAAGCUUCA